CACAUUUACACCUCACACACAGCCGUGACGUCAGGCCUGAGAUGCCAGUAGGGAGAAGGCAAGGAGGGUGAAGAAUGGUCUGGAAAGAAAUGAGGAUAACAUGAAACAGAUGAAGUUUUAAACCAGGAAGGGCUUCUCCUGUUAAGUGGCCUGCUAACCAUGGGCUCCCCUGAAGCCAGAGGGCCAUCGCUCACUCUUCUGGGCCCUCAAGGUAGAGUGAUCUUUCCACGUUUCCUUAUUUCAUAGGACUGUGUAAAUAGCACGAGGGAAAUACUGACUCAAGAGGGUACAUUUUUCAGUUUGUAGUGAAAGUGUUAUUUCUCUGUCAGAAUGCAUGAUGUCCUUCAGCCUCCUAGCCUGUCACCCCUUCUAUGGGAUAAAGAACUUCAUAGACAAAAGGGGGUAAAGAGAUUUAAACAUUUUUGUGAAGACCUUUAAGUGUGCAGAGAAGAAGGGAGAAGUGAAUUCCAUAACAUGAUACCCAUGAUGAGGGAGAAGAUAGAGCUGGUGUUUGAAAUGAUCAAACAUUUCAAAGAUUCAAAUAUCAGACACACAAAAUAGAAGAUUAUGAAAAAACUCAUAAUGUUAAGGAGGCAAAGCAGAAUUCCAUCCUAUUUCUAUUUUUAUUUGUUUAAUGUUUAUUUUAGGUUUGGGGGCGCAUGUGAAAGUUUGUUCCAUAGGUAAACACGUGUCCCGGGGGGUUGCUGUACACAUUAUUUCAUCACCCAGGUACUAAGCCCAGUACCCAAUAGUUACCUUUUCUUCUCCUCUCCUCCCUCACCCUCCCCAUGCAAGCAGACCCCAAUGUCUGUUGCUUUCUUCUUUGUGUUCAUAAGAUCUUCUCGUUUAGCUCCUGGAAAUUCCAUUUUAUUUCCUGCUAUAAUUUAUUGCAGUUUAGACAUAUGAAUUAGUGGUAAUUCCUGCAGGGUCUUCAAGUCUAGUAGAUAGACUUUAUCUCAGUUAAUAUUCAACAUGAGGACAGCCAUUGCCAUGGUUUGAACGUGUCCCCAAAGUUCAUGUGUUGGAAGCUCAAUCCCCAACACAAUUGUGUUGAGAGGCAGGACUUUUAAGAGAGGUGAUUAGGAGAUGAGGGCUCUGCUCUAGUGAGUGGAUGAAUGCUGUUCCUGAGGGAGUGGGUUCGUUAUUGAGGAUGGGAUCCUGACAUGAGGAUAAAUUCGGCCUCCUUCCUCUCUUGCUCUUCUACCUUCGUCCAUGGGAUAACACCACAAGGAGGCCCUUACCAGAUGCAGGCCCUUGAUCUUGGACUUCCCAGUCUCCAGAACUGUAAGAAAUAAAUAUCUGUUCCUUUAUAAAUUACCCAGUUUCAGGUAUUCUGUUAGAGCAGCACAAAUCGGACUAAGCCGGCCACCUCUCCCUGUUUCUUGUAUCUUUCACUGGGAAGUUUCCAGGGCCGACGGUGAAGGACGGGGGCUCCAGCAAUCACACCGCAGCUGGAGAUGGAGGCAGUCAGAAUAACAGCUGGAGACCUGUGUCUGUGGAUGAACACUACACCAUUUGCUCCAUUUUCUGAGAAUUUCUCAGUGGAUGCUUUAAAAACCAAGGAUGAAUUCAGCAUCUCUAUUUUAUGUGGAAGCUGUUCUCAGCAUCAUUUGUUUUCUUACUUGGGUGGAAAAGAUAGCUGGGUAGGUGUUUUCCUCCCAGGGCCUUCUGAAGAGUUUAAAAACAGAGACUUUGGGUGUUGAAUGAAAGGUCCCUAUUCUUUCCUAAAAUACUCACAGAAUCCCAUGACUAAUAUAUAAAUAAAGAUUGUUGUAUUAGUCACCCAACAAUGAAAGAAGAAAUCCUCCCACUUCUCAAAUGCUUCCUUUCAGAGUAACCUCAAUGACCUGACUGAUUCAUGGAACUAAUUUGUAACAAUAAUAAAGAUGAAGCGGGACCCCAGACAAGCUUUCAGAACUCCUCCAAAGACCCUCACUGCCUCAUCCCGCUCUCCCGUUCCUCGGCCUGCAGCUGAUGCCUUUGAGGAAGCCCCUGUUUGUACUGACAGUGGCCCAGAAACCUCUUCCCCUUGCUCAGACAAUUGCCCAUGUGGCCGCUGCCAACUUGGGGCUUCCUGGACUUCACAAACUCAGGAGGUCUGAGCUCAGUGACACCCUGCAUCGCCCCUGCUCCCUGGGCUCCUGCCCUGAACCACAGCUCCCUGCUUGAUGAAGAAGGGUCAGCCACCUCAAGGUUCACUUCCGGGCAGAGGCCACAUCUGUUAGGAAAGAAAAUAGAUGAAAAGCAUAGUUAGCAAGUGCCUGCUGUUGGCCAGGCACCGAGCUAGGAGGUGUCUUAUUCCUGUGUCAUCUUAUUUCAUCAUGUAAAUGGCCCUGUGAGGCAGAGAUGGUUGUUUGAAUUAUACAGAAGGAGAAACACAGAGUCAGAAAGAUGAAGAAACUUGCUGAAGAUUGUAUUGUGUUCCAGUGGUCUCCAAACUGGGGUAGGUCCACUCUAGUGAAGGUCCCUGGUUAAUUCCUGCUGAUUAAGCACUAACCACAUGAGACUCAUCCAGCUGGCCAGUUUCCAGAUGAAACUGUGGUGGGUAAAUUCUUUGGAAAAGAAAAUGGAGUCCAUUUCCACAUGACCACACCUCCCCUGCAGCUAGGUAAGAUCAUGUAAUGGAAUUCUGGCCAAUGGAAUAUGAGUGGAGUUAAUGUGGGUAACCUCCAUGAUGGGCAAAGAAACACCUCCCAGGAAAAAGUCUUGAUUUUUCCUCAUGUCUGCUGACUACAUAUCGACUCUUGAAUAGACUUGAGUAUCUGCUGUUGAAGGAUGCAGAGGCUCUGUCAGCCUGGGCCCCUGAGUGACUUCAUGGAGUAUACCAUCUCUCCAACUGGAUUUUAUCUUUCAGUGGUUCAGUUUUUCUCCACUGUUUCCACCAAAAUACCAUCAACAGUAAGGAAGAACAAUGUGGACCACCAGAAGGCUGGAGUGUUUUCUGAAGCUGCUCCUGCUUGGACUUUGGUUGGAAGUCGUGAUUGUCUGAGGGUUCAUGCUGGCGCUCCCCCAGUGAACCUAGCUCACCUACCCUCUGCUCUGGCUCUAGUCUCUCUUCCCUUCUUCUAAGGGAGGCUACUGCUGUGCUCAGUGCGGAGCUGGGUUCAAGGAGAGCUGGGGCUCUGAAGGAGUCGUGGGGAGAAGGCUGACAUGAGUCCUGAGUGAGUGGACCUGCUCUCUCUGGCCCUGAAGGGGUCAAGAGGCAACUGGGUGUGUGGGCUGAGUCUUUCCUGGCCCUGAAGCUGGAAGUAGAGGCUUUGUGCAGGAUCCUCAGCAGGGGACUAAAAGCCUGUGCUUUCAUAACCCGAGCCACACUGGCAAGUGCGCUGCCUCCUCCCACCUUUGAGACAGUUGCCUUCAGGAGCACAUCUACCAGAAGCCAACAAAGAAAAGCAACAGCCUCUUGGAGGGGCCUUUCUCCAGGGAGAGAAGGGUGAGGCAGCACAGGCAGAGCUGGUGUAGGAGACACAAGACAGUAUGAAUUUCAAAAUCAGAGCAUUGAAGGAGAUUCAAAUAUGGCACAAAAAGAGUUUCUGGAGCUAAAAAUCAUAAUUUCCUAACUAAAUACCAUUCAGUAGAUUAACUGAAAAAGUGGAAGAUCACCGUGAAGAUAUGGUCAGCUCUCCUGGAGGGUCAAAGGGCAGACAGACCCCUUGAUGAAAAGGGUGGUAUAGAGCAAAUGUAGAAAGAGAUGGGAAGCAAGUAGAAAUGGGUAAGGAACAUGGGAUGGAUCCUAAAACCUUGACUUGUGAAUAGAGAAACCUUGACUUGCAGAAAGAGGAAAAAAUAGAACCAACGGAGGAGAGGUGACCAUGAUACUAACAAUAAAAGAAAACUUCCCUGAACUGAAGCAAACCUGAGCCUCUGUUUUUUUUGUUUUCAAAUUUAAUACAC
rnacentral:lncRNA from 1 species